GCCACACUCAUCAGGUGAAUGAUGAUAUUGAUAUGAUGAUAACGUGAUAUCAUCAUUCACCUGAUGAGUGUGGC